rnacentral:rRNA from 1 species
AACUCUGCAAUAAGCGAAAGCUUGACAGGGUUAUUCUGAGUGAUUUCCGCUAAGGAAAUCUUUUGGCACCUCUAAAAAUGGUGCAGAAUAAGGGGUGGGCAAGCCUGGUGUCAGCCGCCGCGGUAAUACCAGCACCCCGAGUGGUCGGGACGAUUAUUGGGCCUAAAGCAUCCGUAGCCGGUUCUACAAGUCUUCCGUUAAAUCCACCUGCUUAACAGAUGGGCUGCGGAGGAUACUAUAGAGCUAGGAGGCGGGAGAGGCAAGCGGUACUUAGUGGGUAGGGGUAAAAUCCGUUGAUCCAUUGAAGACCACCAGUGGCGAAGGCGGCUUGCCAGAACGCACUCGACGGUGAGGGAUGAAAGCUGGGGGAGCAAACCGGAUUAGAUACCCGGGUAGUCCCAGCUGUAAACGAUGCAGACUCGGUGAUGGACUAGCUUCAUGCUAGUCCAGUGCCGCAGGGAAGCCGUUAAGUCUGCCGCCUGGGUAGUACGGUCGCAAGACUGAAACUUAA